GGUGGAGGUGGACAGGCUGCUGCGGGAUUUAGGACUGGCCAGCAGGAGCUUGCUCACUGCAGAGAUCUUAGACUGGCUGGCCUUGGGAGAGGCCCCUGUGGACUGAGUGAUGCCACAGCUGGGUGGUGAGGCGCCAGUGCUGCGACCCAGGCUCCUCCCAGUGCGGGGCAUGGUACUAUCUUUGCCGGCAUGCAUGCGGGAGCUCACCGACGACAGGCUUUCAGCCCUCUCCAACGACAAGCAUUCGUAGUGGCUGACUGUUGUCCUGCCAAGAGAGUUGCUUCUGCUGGCCAGCUGUUCCAGCUUGGCGCUGAAGAGCUUACUGCUGCUACUGACAUCCUUAGUCUUGCCGUUGGACUCAUCAGGGAAGCAAGCCAAGAAGGUAGCUGGCUGGUUCAGGGGGCUGCUGGUGUUGCUGCUGCCACCACCGUGUUGAGGGCUGGCCCUGUUCUUCUGGUCCAAGCUAGACUUGCGGACAGGAGGCAGAGGCGGGGUCCCUUUGGGCCUUGCCAGGACGCAAUGCUUGGGUGAAGCAACUUUCCUCUCUAGGGUUGUCUUCGAGGAUGGGAUGCCCGAAGCAGCACUGAAGCCAUUGCUGUCUGCCAGGCAAUGGUAGAAGCUGUCCAGCUCCUCGUGCCUGUCAGCUUUCUGAAAUGCCCUUGGGAGGCUGCUUGACUUUAGGUUUCGGUUGACAUGGAGGGGACUUUGGGCCACCAAGCCAGGCAGGGCCAUCUCACAGCCAUCCACGACUCUCCUAACGUUAUCAGUCCCUUGAAAGGCGGCUGCCUCUGAGCUGCUGCUGCUCAGCCUGUUGCCUGAGCUGGGCCUGCCAUCCAGUUCCUGCUCUGACUUACCUUCAGUCUUCAGGGAGCUUGGGAGCGGCUCACACUUAACCCCUUCCUCGCUGGAAGUCCAGCAUAGAAUCCAGAGCCAUGCAAGUGCUAAGUAAGGGCUCCGUCCCUGUUCCUCACUCCCAGGCUCCCUGAAGAAGCCUUAAUGGACAAGUUUCUCAAAGUCCUGCUGACUGGAUCCACAGAACAGGAGUUCAAUGCACCUUCCUUCCUCAGGUCCUUUUGUUUGGUUGGGUUUGGUUUUGAUUUUGUUUUGUUUUGGGAGGGGGUUGGUUUUCCAGUUAAAAGUCAAUGCUUUUCUGUAGCAUCAUGAAGAGCCUACACUGUGGGAUGGCAGAUGUCCCAAAUACCAUAGAAGAUGCUGGCUUCUUACAGAAUGAGGGCAAAGGUCUGUUCUUUCCAUAUCCAGGCCUAGCAUGGGGUCUAACAUAGUUAUCUUCCUAUAAACAUUCAAGCAAGUCUCUAAUGGCUAAACUUAUCCAUUAAGAGAAGACUUCACCCCAUGAAACGUCAUAAAUCCACAACAUCUAAGUCUUAGACUCUAAGAUAACUUUUUCUGUUGUUGUCUGAAGGAUCCAGUGUCAUAAGAAAACCAACUGAACUGGGGUUCCAGUGAGUACCGCUCCUACAAAGCUCUAGUUUACACAGAGCUUCUGUCUGUGUAAGAGCAGACUGGCUCUCUCAGUCUCAGAGCAAGCUGGCCUGCCUGGGUCCACACAUAUCACAGUCCUCAAUGGCAUAUUACAGGAAGGACAUUUACAUGCAGGGUGUCAUCUUAAGGAAUGGGCACAACAGUGUCCCCAAAGAGAAACCAAUAGACCCACUAUGUGGUCUUAAUCUGAUGGCAAGGUUCUGGUCAGCUCAUCAAUACAAUGUGAUGUGUACAUGUUAUAAACUCUUGGCUAUUCCUAGGUAUAUAUCCAGAUAUGAAGUUCACAAGACCUACUGAGGUGUAGCAGUUUGUCUUGGCUAAAAGGGGCUGGUCAAACUUGUUGGCAUAGUCUAAUACCUUAGACAUAGACAAUAUAAAUAUGUGUCCCAGAAAGGGUGGCAAGUACCAUUCUGGCUUGGAGCUAAAUAUAAAGGGAGCCUCCUGUGUGGUGGGACUUAGGGUUCAAAACUUUUCUCUUUUAUGUUGCUAUAUGAGUAUAUGCUGAGUGUGUAGUGUCCACACAGGCCAGGUCAGGGUAACAAAUCCCCUGGAGUUGGACUUAAAGGAGGUUGAAGGUCACCAGUGUGGGUGCUAGGAAGUGAACUCAGGUCUUUUGGAAGAGCUGCAAGCAAGUACUCUUAACUGCUGAACUACUCCAGCCCAUGGUAGGAUUUUGGAAGACCUUGUUAAAAAGCUCCAAAGGGCCCUGUUCUUAGUCCCUUGCACUGGCAUACAGAAUGUCCUGUUUAGACACACAGGUAGUUUUGGAGUCAUUUGUUCUGCAAGCAUGCAUUUAUAACCUGAGAUACUAUUGGCUCUCUACCUGCCCUGGAAAUACAAAUUCAUAUGAGACAGAUAGGAUCAUAGUAUGGGCCCUAUAUAUGUCCUGGGAUGCCCAGAAGUCUUGGUUUUAUAUUAUCUUGUAUCCCAUCUGUUUAUUACAGUCUGGAUUUCUUCUCACUUGCCAUUACAAGACUUUCACCAAAAUAGAAUGGGUAGUAUGGGUGGACCUUCUGGCUCGCUAUCCAUAUGCAUGGUGUGUGGUGAACAGGAGGCCAUACUUUACAGGAUGAGUUCUGCUAAACUGAGAAAUACCUUCUGUUGACUGUCUUUCUAGCUGAUACACUCACACAACUAAUAACUGUGCUGAGAUCAGUUCUACCAGAGAAACAUGAGCUUUUGUUAUAAAAAUUCAUUAGAUUCCAUCAGGAUGCAACUGAACAACAAAGUCUAUGUGAGGAAGAUUGGCUGGAUCUUAAAUUUCAGGAAGCAUGCAGUUCUCUCUUUGCUUCCUGUCACUAGUUGGACUUGAAAAGUAUUUGAGACUUUAAAGAGUAAAAUGGAAUAGCACAAAAUUGCUUAUAGCAGGCAGCUUUAUAGUGGACAAAACAAAGCAGUCUUCAUGACUCAAAUCUGAGUGUUAAAGUUUUAGAAACAAGUCUUCUAAAUUAGAAUUGAAUUUUUUUCAAACUAAAUUGUAAUUGGUAAUGAAGUGCUCAAUAAUUGAAAGAAAAAA
ensembl:antisense Gm16564 predicted gene 16564